GCGCAGCAGUCGAGAAUAUUGCGCAAUGGGGGCAACCCUGACGCAGCAACGCCGCGUGUGGGAAGAAGGCUUUCGGGUUGUAAACCACUUUUACCCGGGACGAAAAGGGGACGUCGAAUACACGUUUCCGAUGACGGUACCGGGAGAAUAAGCCACGGCUAACUCUGUGCCAGCAGCCGCGGUAAGACAGAGGUGGCAAGCGUUGUUCGGAGUUACUGGGCGUAAAGAGUCUGUAGGUGGUUUGUCAAGUCUUUGGUGAAAGGCCGUGGCUUAACCAUGGGAAUGCCAAAGAGACUGGCAGGCUGGAGGCUGGGAGAGGGAAGCGGAAUUUCUGGUGUAGCGGUGAAAUGCGUAGAUAUCAGAAGGAAGGCCGGUGGCGAAGGCGGCUUCCUGGAACAGUCCUGACACUGAGAGACGAAAGCGUGGGGAGCAAACAGGAUUAGAUACCCGCGUAGUCC
rnacentral:rRNA from 1 species